UUUUAGACUCCCUUUGACCAGUAAAUAUGGUUUCAACUUUAUAUUAUGGCUUCUUCGGGAAAUGCCUGUGCUGGUUCGAGUGAAAUUUGAUUCCACAUAUUAGUGAGAUGGUAUGGUAUUUGUCUUUCUCUGACUGAUAUAUUUCGCUUACCAUAAUAUUCUCCGUCCCUCCAUGCUGUCUCAAAGGGAACUCAAAAAAAGUGCCCUGGGCACCACCCUUCCUGCAACCAGAUUCUUUUCUAAAGACCUUUCACUCUAAGACAUGAAGUCACUGACCCAGGAUUGCAUGCAUUUAACCCAAACUUGGAACAUCUCUAAAAUCCUUGUGUGUCCCUGCGGGUUUGAAGGGUAACAAGACCAGAAAAUAAUUUAGAGAACAGGAAGGAGGCCAUAUUGAGUGAAUGGGCCAUUCAGGAAAUAAAUGGUGCCACAGAAGGGCAUCAGACUUAUUGUGCUUGCUGUACCAAAAUAGGACCACCAGUUAGCAGCAAGUGGAACUUUCCUAUUGAUGGGCUAACUUAGUCCCCAAACAUUCACGGUUCCAUUUUUAUUAAGUGUGACUCACCCACUUCUUUUUGGUUCCCAGUUCACUUUUUCCUUAGUUUAACCAUGAGUAAGGUAUGACCUAACGUUGUACUUGCUUGUAUAGUCACUUUGGUUUCUACAAAAAGAAAAAAA